rnacentral:rRNA from 1 species
UGGGGAAUAUUGCACAAUGGAGGGAACUCUGAUGCAGCGACGCCGCGUGAACGAAGAAGGCUUUCGAGUCGUAAAGUUCUUUUAUAUGGGAAGAUAAUGACGGUACCAUAAGAAAAAGCCCCGGCUAACUACGUGCCAGCAGCCGCGGUAAUACGUAGGGGGCUAGCGUUGUCCGGAAUCACUGGGCGAAAAGGGUUCGCAGGCGGAAAUGCAAGUCAGGUGUAAAAGGCAGUAGCUUAACUACUGUAAGCAUUUGAAACUGCAUAUCUUGAGAAGAGUAGAGGUAAGUGGAAUUUUUAGUGUAGCGGUGAAAUGCGUAGAUAUUAAAAAGAAUACCGGUGGCGAAGGCGACUUACUGGGCUCAUUCUGACGCUGAGGAACAAAAGCGUGGGUAGCAAACAGG